rnacentral:tRNA from 1 species
CAGAAGGUAGCUAAACAGGAAAGCAUCUCCCUUACACCGAGAAGACGCCAGUGCAAAUCCGGCCCCUCUGA